UCCGUAGGCGGUGUGGCAAGUCGGGGGUGAAAUCUCUGGGCUUAACUCAGAGACUGCCUUCGAAACUGCUGUGCUAGAGUGUGGGAGAGGCGCGUGGAAUUGCAGGUGUAGCGGUGAAAUGCGUAGAUAUCUGCAGGAACACCCGUGGCGAAAGCGGCGCGCUGGACCACUACUGACGCUGAGGGACGAAAGCUAGGGGAGCAAACAGGAUUAGAUACCCUGGUAGUCCUAGCCCUAAACCAUCAGGACUUGGGGUGUCCUCACGUUCGUGAGUCGUCCCGGAGCUAACGCGUUAAGUCCUGCGCCUGGGGAGUACGGUCGCAAGACUGAA
rnacentral:rRNA from 1 species